rnacentral:rRNA from 1 species
GACGAACGCUGGCGGCGUGCCUAAUACAUGCAAGUAGAACGCUGAAGGAGGAGCUUGCUUCUCUGGAUGAGUUGCGAACGGGUGAGUAACGCGUAGGUAACCUGCCUGGUAGCGGGGGAUAACUAUUGGAAACGAUAGCUAAUACCGCAUAAGAGUAGAUGUUGCAUGACAUUUGCUUAAAAGGUGCAAUUGCAUCACUACCAGAUGGACCUGCGUUGUAUUAGCUAGUUGGUGGGGUAACGGCUCACCAAGGCGACGAUACAUAGCCGACCUGAGAGGGUGAUCGGCCACACUGGGACUGAGACACGGCCCAGACUCCUACGGGAGGCAGCAGUAGGGAAUCUUCGGCAAUGGACGGAAGUCUGACCGAGCAACGCCGCGUGAGUGAAGAAGGUUUUCGGAUCGUAAAGCUCUGUUGUAAGAGAAGAACGAGUGUGUGAGUGGAAAGUUCACACUGUGACGGUAUCUUACCAGAAAGGGACGGCUAACUACGUG